UACGAGGGGUGCAAGCGUUGCUCGGAAUUAUUGGGCGUAAAGGGUAGGUAGGUGGUCUCGUUUGUCUGGGGUGAAAGCCUUGAGCUUAACUCAAGAAGUGCCUUAGAAACGGCGAGACUGGAGUCUUGGAGAGGGUCGUGGAAUUCCCGGUGUAGCGGUGAAAUGCGUAGAGAUCGGGAGGAACACCAGAGGCGAAGGCGGCGACCUGGACAAGUACUGACACUCAACUACGAAAGCGUGGGGAGCAAACAGG
rnacentral:rRNA from 1 species